AAACAUUCAAGUCUAGAUUUAAAAAUUUUUGAGUCAAGAUUUAAAAACAUUCAACACAAAACAUUUGAAAACACGUGUGCUAGAUAUUAAAAAAUAAUCAGUAAAAAGCGAAAAAGAAAAAGAAAAAAAAGGAAAGCAAAAAAAUUGCAAAAAAAGAAAGAGAAAAAAAAUCGCCACGCACGGGAUGGGCUGCCAGCUGGCGCGCGCGCCGACAACGUUGCUGGUGCGCGCGCGCGAAUUAGCCGCCGCGUUGAGAUUUCUACUGACUAAGUAUGAGACAAGAAUAUUAAAGACCUGUGCUUUCUUUUAUCUGUUAGUUAUGGAGUCUGUAACGUUCAGAAGUUGCUAAAUAUCGAGGAACUUCAUUCACAUUCAGAAGAUGAUUGACGGGUUAGUAUUUCAAAGGGAUACUUUCUGUGAUAUUUUCUAUUUCAGAUUUUACAACCUAAACUGAUCUCAGAUUUAUUCUCAUGCAGCCAAUAUGGUUCCGAAGAUGUCUGGCAUGGAGAGUUGGACAAAUUAAAAGUGGUAGUCUGGUGCGUGUAUAUCAAACUGUACUGCAGGUUUUGGAUAAAUUGCUGUUUAAUAGUGGUAUGUGCAUUUAACUGAUGAACUGAAGAAUUGAUUAUGCGUGAAGUUGUAGGUGCACACUGAACUUAACUGCAGAACUUGAAUUACUUCACAGAAUCAAUAUUGCGCAUUCAUAUAUCGUAUUGUGCUACAUUUUUUUCGUCCAUAAAAAAUAUAUAUAUAGAUGAUGAGUGAGUUCUAAGCUCAGGUUCUACAUGCUGACGGAAAGAAAUGAAGAGUUGUAGUGAGUACCAGUCCGGUGUCCAUUGGGUUUCUAUCGUAGGUUUGGGAGGCACCGGAAGCUCUUGUCUUAGAAAACAUCCAAUCCAGCUGGCUAGUUAAUGCGCAAUUGGCUUAAUUAGUUAGAAGAAAAUCCUAGCUAGUCAACCUGAAGCAAGGAAGGAAAUUUGCAACCAAAUUUUCUUUCAAAAUUUGAAGAAUUUUCAUAGAAUACAAUUUGAUUCUCAUCUUUCAUUGGCUUGAUCCAAUGACUUUAAAUGGUUUCGGUAGUAUUCCAGUUUGGUUUGCUCAACAUUUGCCCUUUGUAUCCAAAACUACAAUUAUAUGUAUCGAUUGGGUUCUCCGAGUUGAUCCAGAUGGAAUUGUUCAAAGGGAGAUCCUAGCGUGCGAACACAAGGGAGAGCUCUCAGCCCAUGGACCAUUCUAGUUGGAAUAUGAGAUGAAUUCAAUGCCUCAUGUGACUACGUCCAACUCUCUCUCGCUCUCCAAAUUUCUUGCCGAAUUCCCUUCUAACAUUCAAUUGUGAAAUAUUUCAAAUCAAUUAAGUAACUUUGAACUCAAUUUAUUUAAAUUAUAUACGCAAAUCUCAAAAGUUUCUUAUAAAAGAUCAUAACUUUCAACUUCGCUUCAAUAAUAUUCUACUUAGCAGAUUAUAAACUUCCAAUUCAGCGCUGAAAGUUUUAGCUAAAAGAAGUAAAAUCAUUCUAUUUUAUUUCACAAAAAAAGUUAGGAAAUAUAAAACUUCACUCAAUUCGAAGAAACUUUUAAUACAAGAAGAAAAUGAUACAUGUUGAGGUGUUAGAAAACUUUCAAGGACUCAAAAGAACAAUGAUAACUUUUCUAUAUGUUGCCAUUCAAAUAUCAAAAUCCAUGAACAUUGUUCUUAUAUUAAAACAAGAAAAAGUGAUGGGCCAAUAUAACUUAGGUUCAACUGUUCAAGCAUAUAAAUUGCGAGAGAAUUGUUCUAGUCCAGCAUAUUGUAGCUCGAGGUACCGAUACCUCGAGCUACUAAUCUAAAUCCGGCCGUCCAUUUUUUGGAGGGUAUGAUUGGAAACCAAGCAAGUGCAAGCCUUGCAUGCUAAGUCCAGCUUCUUAUGCUCCUUCUCUCCGACUGUGUCUGUGCCAUCGUGCUCUCCAAAACCAAGAGCAACUCCAAGCCAAAGAGAAGCAACAAUCAUGGCGUGGGGUUGGAUAACGAGGAGCCCGAGGCGGCGCAGCCCACCACCAUGGAGGAAAAUACCAUGGCGGCACCUGUGAUAGCGCGGCGGGGCGCGCAGAUGUGCUGCCAUCACAAUACCGUGACAGCUAAAGGGGAAUGGGAGAAGGCCUUGGAGUUAGUGGAUGGGAAGAAACACACGUGCACUGAUGUGUGGCCAAGAAAUCGGUGGUGCAGGCAGUCGUCCAGCAGCUUUGAACCUUUGACCAACAGAAGCACUCAAUUCCUCAUCCGUCCAUACAACACGAAAAUAUGUUCUCACCCUUCCACUAAUUGUUAGUACACGGUACAACCCCAAGAACAAUAAUGGUAUCUCACGGUACCAAGCUAUCCUGGCCGUUCGAUCUGGCUAAACGAAUGACCACGAUUUGGUACUACGUAGGGGUGUUGGACGAUAGAAAAAAACCUCAACUUGUAAUCACCACAUGAGCAGAUUUUGAUGUUAUCUUUUGUUAAAAAGGCUUUGAAGUUUUCUCUCUCUGCAAAUUAAGACUUGGGACAAAAUGGAUGACUAUUCUGGAAGUAAGUUAAAGCAGUGAUCUUGCAAUCUUGCAUUAUAAAUUCUGAAGAAUGGUUUGUUUAAUAACAUCUGAAGGAACAUUAAUGGAUCUUAAUUGACAUUUUAUAUAGACAAUGCCAUUUAAUGAACCAUCAACAUUUCCUUAUCUGAACCUUUUAACUGAGCUGAGCGUCCGUGUAAUUGAGCAUUAAGAUAUUACUAUAUGUCUCCAAUCCCCCAUCAGUUAAUGGGCCCAUAUAUACAGGUACUGCAUUGAACAGCAAAGAUAGAGCUGAUUAAUAUUUGCAUAUAUAGAAUGAAAUUUUGUAUAAAUAAAAGAUCAGAUGAAGGAUGAUAUUAUAAGAUAUUCUACACGGUGAGAGUGAGAUGAACAACAACACUUCAUGGACAGAGGCAGACCGGACCACUGAUCUAUGCAUGCAACGGGUUGCUUUGCUAUGCAGGGUUGUUUGGCUUAGGAGGCAUCAGGAGUUGUCAUUUCACCGGGUCAUCAUUCUCAUUGCCAUCGUGGUGGAAUCUGAUGUAUGGUCCAGAGUGCGCUCGCUGCUGGCGUGAGUCGCGCGCUAUGCAGCUGGGGCCUCCAUCACAUUGGUGCAGCUAACCAGCACCCUCACAGGAUCGUAUUUCCUCAUAGAGAGUCCAUGCAAUUAGACCUGCUAGAACUGGCUGAACCAGACUGUUUUUUUAUGAAAACCGACAACCCAAUAUAUGCUUUGUUGAGGCUCAAUACGUUUAUUUUUCAACAAGUAUGAUAAAAAGACGUAAGAGAGGAUCGAACCCCCUUAGUUGAAAACACCGCUCCUCUACCAUCUUCCCCAGCUGUUCGCAGCUAAAUAUAGUUUCUGGUUCAGCAAUCGAUCGGAGUGGCCAACCUGGCGGUUUGACUAGUGAACCAAUGAACCAAGAGCUCAAGUGGUUCAUUGGCUGGUCCCCUUUUUUAAAUUAUGGACCUAACUCCGCCACAGGAGAAGCCGAGCCGAUCUUGGCAGUUCAAAUGCAUCAUAGCAUCUUAUGUUCCCAUGUGGAACCAAAACCGCAUGUUGACGGCAUCGCAGGCUAUCGGUAUGUUAUCUCUAGUGUACAGCAUCUCUAACAAAAUCAAGCUCAACCUUGCAUUCUAGCUUCGUCCUGUCACUGAACGCCAGUUCACCAGGCCAGGGGUUCAUGUUAAGCCUAUAUGGAUGGCACAGGCUACCAGAGUGUGCAGCAGCAAAGUACCCUAUCAUGGAAAAGCAAAAAAUUGUGAGUCGGCGUUAUUGAGCCAACGGUGGUGACUGACAGCGCUUGAGUAUGUUUGUGAAAGACACAAGUUUGCCUCCAUUUCAGAUUGUUUAGGUCCUGACGGUGUAUCGCGUAGUUUUGUAAGCGUAACCAGCUUUCCAAACUGAACUUUCUAUACUAGUUAAGUUUGGUAUGUUUAAGGCAUGUGCUUUCUUUCAUCGGUCAGUUACUUAGCCAGCAAAGUUGAGGAACUUUAGUCACAUUUAGAAGAUGUUGAAAAUUGGGGGGAGGGAUUAAUAUUUUAUUGUGAUUUUUUUAUCUAUCAUAUUUGGCCAGCUAACCUCAUCUUAGGUUUGCAUAUGGCACUGUUCCGAUGGAUUGAUGUCUGUUAGAGUUUCUGUCGAAUAUGUGUACAUAAUUAGUUACUGUUUAGGAUUUGGAGUUGUACUAGGUAUAGGAAUAGUGUAAAAGUCGCACUCUA